AUAGUAGGUUAAAGGGUGUAGACGUUGAUACAGACAGGGAAGUCCGUUUGUUGAGUCGAACCUGAUAGUACAGAGAGCCUUCGUGGCGAUUUGAUAUGAAUGUAAUCAGACUUCCAAGAAAAUCCGCUAAGCAUAUGUCACAUUUACCCGUACCACAAACCGACACAGGUGGUCGAGUAUAGAGUACAUAGGCGCUCGAGUGAUUCAUGGUUAAGGAACUAGGCAAAUUAGACCCGUAACUUCGGGAGAAGGGUCCCCUACUCGCAAGAGAGGGCGCAGAGCAAAGGUCCAGGCGACUGUUUAACAAAAACACAGGGCUAUGCUAAAUCGAAAGAUGAUGUAUAUGGCCUGACACCUGCCCGGUGCUGGAAGGUUAAGAGGAGAGGUUAGCAGCAAUGCGAAGCCUUGAAUUGAAGCCCCAGUAAACGGCGGCCGUAACUAUAACGGUCCUAAGGUAGCGAAAUUCCUUGUCGGGUAAGUUCCGACCUGCACGAAUGGUGUAACGAUCUGGACACUGUCUCAACCAUGAGCUCGGUGAAAUUGUAGUAUCGGUGAAGAUGCCGAUUACCCGCAACGGGACGGAAAGACCCCGUGAACCUUUACUGCAGCUUUGCAUUGCGUUUGGGCAACCGAUGUGUAGGAUAGGCCGGAGGCUGUGAAUCGGGCACGCUAGUGUUCGUGGAGCCGACGUUGAAAUACGGCCCCUCGGUUGUUUGAGCGCUAACCUAUCAAAUAGGGACAUUGCAUGGUGGGUAGUUUGACUGGGGUGGUCGCCUCCAAAAGCGUAACGGAGGCUUCCAAAGGUACCCUCAGGCCGAUUGGUAACCGGUCGUAGAGUGUAAUGGUAUAAGGGUGCUUGACUGUGAGGCGGACAUGCCGAGCAGGUGCGAAAGCAGGGCAUAGUGAUCCGGUGGUUCCGAAUGGAAGGGCCAUCGUUCAAAGGAUAAAAGGUACUCCGGGGAUAACAGGCUGAUCGCCCCCAAGAGCUCAUAUCGACGGGGCGGUUUGGCACCUCGAUGUCGGCUCGUCACAUCCUGGGGCUGGAGAAGGUUCCAAGGGUUAGGCUGUUCGCCUAUUAAAGUGGCACGCGAGCUGGGUUCAGAACGUCGUGAGACAGUUCGGUCCCUAUCUGUUGUGGGCGUUGAGAUUUGAGGGGAGCUGACACUAGUACGAGAGGACCGUGUUGGACGUACCGCUGGUUUACCGGUUGUACCGCCAGGUGCACCGCCGGGUAGCUAAGUGCGGAAUGGAUAAGCGCUGAAAGCAUCUAAGCGCGAAGCCAACCUCGAGAUUAGAUCCCGUUUGAGGGCCGUGGAAUACUACCACGUUGAUAGGCUGCAAGUGUAAAGGCGGAGACGUCAAAGCUGAGCAGUACUAAUAGCCC
rnacentral:rRNA from 1 species